UGUCGGGGAGAGAAAUCGACGAGGCUGUUUUAUUUAGUCAGUCUUUUUCUCUCUCCUAUA
rfam:Bombyx mori DNA, contig: Bm_scaf26_contig17020, strain: p50T/Dazao, build 2, whole genome shotgun sequence.